AGUCAAUGCAAAACACUGAUACUGCUUUAAACACCCUGCACUGGCAGAGAAAACACACUCAGUUCAACAUUAUGGACUAUAGGACAACACUGCUGCUCUUAGCUGUCUGCUGGACAGGUGUUCGUUGUCAAACUCUGACAGAAUCUGAACCAGCAGUGAAAAACCGAGGAGACUCCCACAAAUUGACCUGUACAGCCUCUGGAUUCACAUUCAGCAACUACUGGAUGCACUGGGUCAGACUGGCUCCUGGGAAAGGACUGGAGUGGGUUGCUAUUAUCAGUGGUAGUGGUACUACAUACUACUCUCAGUCAGUCCAAGGCAGGUUUACCAUCUCCAGAGACAACAGCAAACAGCAGCUGUAUCUGCAGAUGAACCGUCUGAAAACAGGGGAUUCUGCUGUUUAUUACUGUGCUCGAGAACCACAGCGACUGAAGCUGGUUAAGCAGCUGUACAAAAACUUCAAGGCCCCUCAAAGUUAACUGAUGGAAGCUUUUAUAUUGACUGUGAGGAACUGUUACUGUAUGGGACACCAAUAGUAUUACACUGAAACACUGAUGCUGAGACAAAGUGAAGAAUAAACCCAAUUUUUUAUUUAUAUACGGUUAAAAUCCCAUCACUGUCUGACCAUGAAAAAUGCAAAUGCAAUCUAUUGUCAAGAAACAUGACAUCCAUUCCAUUCCUGGCAUUUUAAACAAGUGGAUCUUUAGGAUUUUACUCUUUAGGCACAACUUAAACA